UGCGUUGUGGCGCGAACGAGACCUUUCCAGGACUGCGCGGCGGUUGUCUGUAGAGAAAAAAGAAAGAAAGAAUCAGAAACAGAGUGUGAGACUGAGAAAGAACAAGAAAGCGUUGUUGCAUUGAUCCAUACUGGCGCAGGAGCUCAACUAAAUGAAAGACUGUAUAGAGGAACUAAAGGAGGCAAAGAAAAGAGACGGAGAGGGGAAACAACAUGAAGCAAAUCCGAGUUGAUUGAGAGCGGAGCAGCAGGGGAGAAUGGAGAAACAGAAGAAGCUGCUGGAGUGGAGGUGCUUGUGUCUGGUGUCAUAGUAACUCCAUUCAGUUCCUGAUCCAGGCUUCCACUUAAGAGCCCCUCAACUAUUCUCACAUCGGAUGCAGCAUAUGCACUGUAGAUCUUGUGAUGAGCUGGCGACCUGUCCAGUUUGUAUCCAGACUGUCACCCAAAGGGGGCUGGGAUAGGCUCCGCCCUUAGGACCCUCUACAGGAUAAAGCAGAAAUGCCCAUGGCAUAUGCCGGGCAGCCAGGUGGCAGGUGGGGCUGGACAGAACCAGGAAGCAUAGCCAUGGAGAUGACUGCAGGCACACCCACACAGGACUCCCUGGUAUUUCCAAGCGUGCUGCCGCCAAUGUGCCCAUUAUUCAGUGCCAGCUGUAGGGUGCCAGGCGUCCUGGGCUGGGCGUUGUUUAAUGGCACUCACUUCAUCCAUCAUGUCAGGUAAUGAGCAGAGAGUGACUGUGAUGGCCAGGAACACAUACACAAACGUGCACACAGAAGACUCGCACAUACUCCUACAUCCACAACAGAGAACAGAAAGGGCUCCUUCUUCAGAUUGGAUACAAAGCAUCAUACAGAUGGUGCACAGGAGGAGAGAGGGAGAAAGAGGGAGGGAAGGAACAGAAGGACCAAAAGGAAGACAGAUCGAGAUGUUUAAGAAAAACAGAUAAAGGUUCUGUGUCCUCUUUCUUUUGGUUUAACCUGCAUUCAUAUACAGUAGGCGAGCGUUAAAGCUAACAUGUUCUGGCAGCGCAUCCAAACACAUCAUCACUACUUAUCCAUGCACUCAUUUUCCUGUCCACAGGUUGUGCUUCACUCUGUAAGCAUGACUUACACAACCUUCCUCCUAUCAAAACAAGCAUCCACAGCGCACAAAAAGAAAGAAAAAACUGGGACAGUUUAAAAGAAAAAAAAGAAAAAAAAAGUAGAUCAUCAACAAUCUAUCCCUGCCAAUCAUUGCAAGCCCAGUUGCUGUAACCUCAUUUCUGGGCAAACAGUUGCCUUUAACCCUCAGUCUAUCAGAGGAGCAUGAAAAACAGCUGGGAGAAUACAGACCCUUUGUCUCCAAUGUGCGGUCAUCGAGGGCUACAUCUAUUACUGUAAAUAGGAUGGGGAAAAAGAUGGUAGAAAGGAUCAAAGAAGACGACACAAAGAAGGUCACAUAUGAAUUAGGAGGGGAGUAAAAUCAGAAAUGACAAACUGCAACAAUCAACAGAUUUAUCAAAAUUACUACUUGGGGUUUGAAUAAGGGUUGCACAAAAAAAACUAUUUUUCAGAGUACAACAGCAAAUAGGUUCUUUGUGUGACAUCAUAUACGAUCAAACUAGCUUUGCUUUAAUGCAGUUUGUGUUUUUUAAAUGAAAGGAAGAGUCUCCGUGUGCUAUAACAAGUUGUUUGUUUACAGUAAUUGUUGACACGCAGGACCCGGACGUAUACAGCAGUUAAACAAAAGGGAUUUUUUUGCCAUCAGCUCUCCUCCCCAAAACAAUGUGCUCACAGUUAACCUUGGUAUCGAUUCAAAGUACAGGUGUAUUGAUACUAAUAUGAGAACUGUGCACUUAACAGGAGAAAACUGCUGGUGGCUUUGUUAUUUGAAGAGACCGUCAUUUUGUGCGCUGUGUAAAGCAAAAACAAUGGAGACCAUUAGUGUGACCACUUGUUGAAACCCUACAGGAACGCUGCCAUAUAGUAGGCAGCUUUUUGUGGAACAACAAAUGAAAAGUGCCCUUUUGGGUGUAUUUGUGUCUUGCCUAACUGCCUGAAUAUAUUGGAAAGCUUUCGUCAAAGACUUUGCAAAAAAAAAAUAAGGGAGAAAAACUUCCAGCAAAAUGCAUCUCCCAUCAGAGGAUCCUUGAAUGGAGAGCUAUUGGCUUCUCAUAAAGACUUUUCUGUUCCUAUCUUCAGGUGCAUAAAAGCCCAUCUUUUCACACCCCACAUCAAUCUAUCACAACAAUUGAACAAACAGCAGCCAUUUCUACUGGGAGAGAAACAUUACUACUAGCCUCUACUGAAUUGAAAGCUGAAAGCACGCACACACACAUACAGGUGGAGAAGGAAACAAAGUGAGACUGGGGAAAAGGAGGAGGAAUCCACACAAAAGACAAACUCUACGGCAUUUUUUUUUUUUUUGGGGUGCACUGAUUGCAACUCUUUCUACUCGCAUUGGUUUUGAUGGCUUCUUUACCUGCUUCUCCCAGAGGCGACAUCUUUCCGAGUUACAGUAGCAGCGACACAGAGGAGCACAAGAACAGGAGAAGAAAUUGACAAAAGAAGAGCAGGUAUUCCAUGUUACAGCAGGGAGAUGUUGGCAUACCAGAACUUAAUUAAAUGCUGGCUGGCACCAUUUCUCAAAAUGUUACUAAAUGCACUGAGGAUUUCGGUGAGGGUGGGCAGAUGGAGGGGGAAGUCACUGACACACACACACGCACACACACAAAUGCACACUAUGUCUUUCUGUCUCACACACACACAGAGGGAAAUACAUUGUUCCUUAAGUGUUAAAGCGGUUCACAGAGAAAUGGCUCAGUGGAUUGUU